UUUACGUCCAUGACAAGAGAGAUUUGUAUCGGUAGGUGUUACCGUAAAGGUUACCUAUAUGCUGGUAUUCAGAACGGCAAUGAAUGUCGAUGUGGGAACAGUUUUGGACGACAUGGAGCGGACCCAGCUGGUUGUGACAAGCCGUGUGCAGGAAACAAGGCGGACAUGUGUGGUGGUGCUUUGAAGAAUGACGUUUUUGCUACAGGACUUACUUUGCCACCAGAACCAAGCCGCUGCGGUCCUGGAUCACGUGGUAUUAUCGUCAAUCAGAAAUGUUACUAUCUUGUUUCUGAAGAGCGCAACUAUAUGUCAGCACAACGCGGAUGCGCCUUAUUAGGUGGUAAUUUGGCUAGCAUACAUUCUGCCACAGAGCAAGAAAUAAUCACUGGUUAUCUUCGACAAGGAUCUGGCGACGUUUGGUUUGGGUUAAAUGACGUCACAAAGGAAGGGGUGUUUGAAUUUAUAGACGGUAGCCAAACAUCUGAAUUUUCCUUUUUUAAAAAUGGCGCUCCUAGCAACUGGUGGGGUGAAGAAGAUUAUGGAAUAAUGGACAGCAAGGCUAUGUAUAAAUGGGAUGACCGUGGACGAGACGAGAAAAGACGAUUCCUGUGUCAACUUCCAUCUACCCCUGUUUCAAACGUUAUAGAAAGUUGUGGUUUUAAGAACCAGGGUGUAAAAUUAGGAUCAACAGGUGGGUGUUAUGCUGUUAUUAAUACUGGUAUGACGAGAGAAGAUGCUGAAUAUUCAUG